GUAUGGAGCGAGGUUAAGCAGGAUAUGCGGAGCCGAAGCGAAAGCGAGUCUUAAGAGGGCGAGAGUUGCAUGCAGUAGACCCGAAACCGGGUGAUCUAGCCAUGACCAGGUUGAAGUUGGGGUAAAACCCGAUGGAGGACCGAACCGACCCCCGUUGAAACGUUGGCGGAUGAGUUGUGGCUAGGGGUGAAAUUCCAAUCGAACCCGGAGAUAGCUGGUUCUCCCCGAAAUAGCUUUAGGGCUAGCGUCGAGGUAAGUUGCGUGAAGGUAGAGCACUGAAUAUGUGAUGGCCCCAUCUCGGGGUACUGAGCAUAAUCAAACUGCGAAUGUCACGCCAACAUGCUCGGCAGUCAGACAGCGGGUGAUAAGGUCCGUUGUCAAGAGGGAAACAGCCCAGACCAUCAGCUAAGGUCCCAAAAUGUAUGCUAAGUGGAAAAGGAUGUGGAGAUGUACAGACAACUAGGAGGUUGGCUCAGAAGCAGCCAUCCUUUAAAGAGUGCGUAACAGCUCACUAGUCGAAUGACUCUGCGCCGAUAAUUUACCGGGGCUAAGCAUACUACCGAAGCUAUGGAUCCCAAGGGAUGGUAGGGGAGCGUUCCAUGAACGGAGAAGUACGACCGAAAGGACGUGUGGAGAUCAUGGAAGAGAGAAUGCCGGUGUGAGUAGCGGAACGUGGGUGAGAAUCCCACGCACCGAAAACCCAAGGUUUCCAGAGGAAGGUUCGUCCGCUCUGGGUAAGUCGGGACCUAAGGCGAGGCCGAAAGGCGUAGUCGAUGGACAACAGGUAGAGAUUCCUGUACCCGUAUAUAUGUGAAGGAAUGACGGAGAGAGGAAGCUGCAGCCAGCGGCUGGAAGAGCUGGUGCAAGCGAGAUAUCGGGAUGGCAGGCAAAUCCACCAUCCGAAACGAGAAGGCGUGAAGCGUACGGAAAGCUACGGCGAGUACGGAAGGCAGUGGAGGAACUUCCAAGAAAAGUUUCUAACGUAAAGUAUAUAUGGCCCGUACCGAAAAUGGACACACAUGGGUGAGGAGAGAAUCCUAAGGUGAGCGAGAGAACUAUAGCUAAGGAACUCUGCAAAAUGACUCCGUAACUUAGGGAGAAGGAGUGCUCAUAGAGAUAUGAGCCGCAGUGAAACGGCCCAAGCGACUGUUUACCAAAAACACAGCUCUCUGCUAAGCCGCAAGGCGAAGUAUAGGGGGUGACGCCUGCCCGGUGCUGGAAGGUUAAGGGGAGGGGUUAACGCAAGUGAAGCCCUGAACUGAAGCCCCAGUAAACGGCGGCCGUAACUAUAACGGUCCUAAGGUAGCGAAAUUCCUUGUCAGGUAAGUUCUGACCCGCACGAAAGGCGUAACGAUUUGGGCGCUGUCUCAGCUGUAGACUCGGUGAAGUCUUAGUACCUGUGAAGAUGCAGGUUACCCGCGACUAGACGGAAAGACCCCAUGGAGCUUCACUGCAGGUUGAUAUUGGGAUUUGAUGCAGCAUGUACAGGAUAGGUAGGAGGCAAAGAGAUGGAUACGCCAGUAUUCAAGGAGCCGCUGUUGGGAUACUACCCCUGUUGUAUUGGAUUUCUAACCGGACGACGUAGAGCCGUUGACGGGACAGUGUCAGUCGGGCAGUUUGACUGGGGCGGUCGCCUCCCAAAGAGUAACGGAGGCGCCCAAAGAUACCCUCAGCUUGGAUGGAAACCAAGCGCAGAGUGCAAAGGCAAAAGGGUGUUUGACUGCGAGACCCACAAGUCGAGCAGGGACGAAAGUCGGGCUUAGUGAUCCGGC
rnacentral:rRNA from 1 species